ensembl:lncRNA
CCUGGGCUCACAAGCACCCCCCCUCCACACACACACACCCCACCGCCCACCGUCUGCCUCAAUGACUCGGCAGGGGCUGGGGCCGGAUGCUGAGCGGUGUAAGUGUUGCUUCCCAAACUCUGAGGUCCUGGGGCUCACUGAAGGAUGUCCCCCUCCGACCAGGAGGAGGUGCUCUGCCCGGGUUCGGUAAGAUGACGUUUUCUCGUGGAAAACCAAAGGUCCUUCUAGUGGCAGCGGUGGCCAGUGGCUGGGCAGGCCCAGCUGAGUCAGUGUUUGCUGGCUGGUUGCGAGAGGAAUGAUGAACAGGUCCGCGUGGAUGGAGAGGUCCGACACAAAACUAUGCUAAUUCUUCUUAAGCUCUGCCUGCUGCCUUUUAUAUAUCAACCUGAAAUGUAAUUAUCUUUAUGGCUGGCAGAGUAAAUCACCAGUAUGUGUCAAAGAGAUUUGCUCCUGUGUUUUAUUACAUAAUAUAUUAGCUCUACAGUUUUAAGAUGUCAUUACUUGGCUAAUCACCUGAAACAUUUUCAUGAGCAAACAGUGGCGCUGGCGGGAGCUGGGGCCAGAGACCUAUGGCUAAAUCCUUCUGGGAAAUGCCGAGAGCCCUCGGGAGGUCAUUUUGUCCAACCCUCUGCGUUUAGGCUUAUUGAGGUCUAGGCAGGCAGGGGUUCUGCACAAUCUGAGGGACUCCAAGAGGAAAGAGUUGGAGAGCAACAAAUGUUUGAUAGAAGAUAUCCAGAUGACCCAACGAUUCCACUCUGAGGUUCAUAUCUAAAAGAAAUGAGUGCUUUGGCUUAUGUCCACCAAAGGACAUGGGCAAGACUAUUCAGAGUGGCUUUAUUCCUAAUAGCUGAAAACUAGAAACAGCCUAAAUAUCAUUGUAGGAAAUGAACCACCUUUCCUCUACCCUUUCAGUUCUGUACCUGAGGUCUGCAAAUUAAACUAACAAAAGGCAGAAUAGCAGAAGAAGGCAUACAAAUGUUAUUGAUGUCAAUAUUUUUACAGGCAUGGAGCUUCACAGAAAAGAAGUGAAAACCCAAAGAGAUGGUUAAGUCCAGGGGCUUAUAUACCAUUUUUAACAAAGGGCAACACAUUGGAAGAAGUGACCAAAGGAACAGGGGAGUUUGAGCUUCUGGAGUGGUAAAUUGUUGGAAGGUGACUAGGAAAUGCAUUAUUUUGUCGUUGCAUCGAAAAGCCAUAGUAUGGCUUCAAACUCUUUCUUCUCUGGCUGUGAGUCUGGGGGACAAAGAUAGUGUGGUACGACAGAAGGCGCACGGGCUCUGCAAUGAGACCCACCUGGCUUUGAAUCCUGGCUCCACCACUUGUUCAUUCAGUCAUCUUGGACAGAUCACUUAAACUCAAUUAAGCCUCAAUCACUUAAGCCUCAGUUUCUACACCUGCAAGCUGAAAAUAAUAAUACCUCCUUUGCCUGCUUUUGCGGGAAGUAACGAAAAAACAUGAGCAAAUUGACUUGGUGACUAGCGUGUUCCUUCUUGCACCAUCCAUGCCAUCUUUCAGUAAGCACCUACUACACUCCUGCACAGUCCCAGGCACCGGGCUGGGAGCUGGAACACAGCAUUGCCACGAUCUAUAGAACACGAGCUGUGUUUUUGCCCGCUCAGCAUCUGAUCGGCCGGCACUGGGAUUUCCCUUUUGCAAACCACCCCUCCUCCACCUGCUGUUCACGUGGUUCCACGUUGGCUAACGCUGCACCCCAUCCCUCACCAACCCCCCAACACCAUUCAGGAUAUUCAUCUCCCUGACCACAGAGAUUGUUUCCGGGAUGGGCUCAUGGUCCAGACUAGCUUCAUGAGAGUCAGCCCUGAGACUUUUGCUGGAGCUCUUGAGAAAAAAAAGUGUUGCUUUUCCACUGAGGAUGAUCAGCUAGUCAAAUGGAGCCCUGGACCUGCUUAGGGGGUGUCUUCACCACCUCGCUGGGAGAUCGUGCCCCGAGAAUAAAGACGACAUAGACAGCUGAGAGAUGAAGAGGGAAAGAUUCCUAAUAGCCUCAUUUAAGUACCCAGAUCCAGCCACACCAGGGCUGAGUUGGUUUUCUGAUACUUGCAAAUAACAUAAUCCUGAUUAACAUACUGUUCUUAAAAUGAGUAACAUUUGAGGAGUUUUUUCUGUGCACCAGGCAUUGUGCCAAAUGAUUUACAGGCACCAUCUUAUUUAAUCCUCACAAUAAUCUUAUGAGGUGGGUGUCGUGGGUUGAGUAUGUGUCCCUUCCCAAAAUAUAUGUCAACCCAGAACCUCAUAAUGUGACCUUAUUUGGAACUAGGGUUUUUCAGAUGUAAUGAGUUAAGAUGAGGUCAUAGUGGAUGAGGGCGAGCCUUAAGUCCAACAGCUUGAUGUCUUUGUUAAAAAAGGAGAAGACAUACAGAGAGAGAGAGAGAAGAAUGUCAUAUUAAGGCAGAGGCAGAGAUUGGAAUAAUGCACCUACAAGCCAAGUGACACCAAGGGUUGCUGGGCGCCACCAGAACUAGGAAGAGGCCAGGGAGGAAGUCUUUCCUAGAGCCUUCAGAGAGAGCACAGUCUUGCCAGCACCUUGAUUGCAGACUGCCGGUCUCCAGAGCUGUGGAGAGAAUACACUUCUGUAAUUUGUUACAGCAGUCCUGAGAAGCAAAUACAGGAGAUAGUGAUCAGUAUUCUUGUUGAAGUGAGAAAAUU